rnacentral:rRNA from 1 species
CCGCCAGAGAACUACAAGUGAAAAACUUGAAACUCAAAGGACUUGACGGUGUCCCAUAUCGACCUAGAGGAGCCUGUCCUAUAAUCGAUACUCCACGUUCUACCUAACCCUAACUAGCACAUCAUCAGCCUAUAUACCGCCGUCGACAGCCUACCCUAUGAAGGUCUAACAGUAGACACAAUAACCCAACCGCUAGCACGUCAGGUCAAGGUGUAGCAAAUGCUAGGGAAGAGAUUGGCUACAUUUUUUAUAAUAAAAAACACGAAAAGUACUAUGAAACCGUACAUGAAGGUGAAUUUAGUAGUAAAAUAGAUAAGAGUGUCUAUUUUAACAACGCUCUGGGACGCGUACACACCG